AUUCUUUUAUGGAUUUUUUUUUUUUUAAAGAAGAAAAAAUAGACGAAAGAAAAACAAAGCCACCGCCCUGAAGCAGAUCAUUCGUCAUAAACAGUGGGAGCAUGAAAGGUGAUUUGCUUUGACCUAGUUACAACAACAAAAACAAAGAGACUUUCUCUAAUUGCCUGAAUAACUCAAGUGGGACUGAGUGUCAAAAGCAACAAAUCUGUGCUUCCUUCGGAGCUACAUGUUAACGUGGGACACCAGGCUCCAGCCUGCUCCAGUUCAAGACCUUGGGAGAUGUCUCUGAGCCCAAGGAAGCCUGGGUAAGCAAAAGCCAGCCAAUUCUGUGUGCCUGCAUGCACAAACAGGAUCAGGUGCCAGGACAAACAUGUUUCAUAAAUUAUAACAAAGACAGUGGCUUUAAAUGCUGAGACUAUCAGGACUUCAACAUCUAUGUUGCCAAGAGCUGCAGGCAAGUGAAACUGUUUUGCUUUACCAUCAUAGUACUGCUGCAGCCCUUGCAGAGCUGUCACUGACUUACUGAGGCUCAACAUUUUAUUUUAAACAAGCUUGAAGUUAGCUAGGUGCCUAAAAUGCUCUAAGAGCAAGGUGCUCAGCUUUCUAAGCACCAGAGAAAAGCCCAAAGUCAUUGCAUUGCUAUUGCAGAAUGUGGGCUAGAGAGGGUGAGAGCAAAUACAGAUAGGGCAGGUGAACAGAGCUGGAAAGCAGGAGAAGAGGGAAUGGAGAGACUUCAGGGGUUUAUGUCCAUAUGUUAGAAAAAGCCAUUUCUUUAUCAGCUAUGGGAAGCAGCCUGGGAAAAUCAGCGUGCCAGGUCUCUGGGGCUGCCUAGUUUCAGUCAGGUAGAAGUCAUCCCUUUGGCAUCUCAUUCUGCAGCCUUUCCAUGUGUUUUAGUUGUCUUAUAUACGUGCAAAAGUAGCUCUGUGAGGAGCUGCUGGGAUGGCCUUUCAGUAGAAGAAAAUGAAUUUACUUAGCCUGUAAUUCUCACCCAUGGAGUGCUGGCAGCAUCUUUAGCGCUGCAGAGAAAAGGCUGUGGGGGGUGGCAGAGAGAGCACUUUUCUGAAGCCCACAUGGAGUCUCAUUUUUUUCAGUUUUAGAGGGCAGGUUCACAAGAGUUUGUAUGUUUUCCCCAGCUGGUUCACCAUCUAUUUUAGAUGGAACUGUUUGAUCUCUUUCUGCUUGUGGUCCUUUCAGUUUCACAAACAAUAGGAGGAAGCUUGCCUGUUACGUGUGUUUGGGCCCCAGCUAAGCUUUUCCCAGCUGGAAAAGUCAGUCCAUGAACUACAGAGGGUUUUCUCCAGCUGUAAUUACAAGACUCCCAGUUCCCUUACGCAUCUGGUAAGGAUUAAUGUGUGCUGUGGCAGAGUUCUGAAGGCUUCAGCAGCUCUGCGCUGUGGGAAGGCAGUCCCUGGCUGAGCCAGAGGCGUCCCAGAAGAGUCAACACUGUUAAUGCCACAAAGGCCGAGCAGUUACCUGUUCCUGAAAGCUAGCUAGCCAUUGCCUAUAGUGGGAGUGGGAGAACAACAGAACAAAUGCAGCUACCUCAUAUCGUAAGGUGUAUUCGGCAAGAAAAGUGCAAGGAGACAGGAGGCCCUUUGCAGGGAUGGAACUUGCCCUCCAGGGAUGACAGGUAUGCAGUAAUUCAGGUUUUAUUGCCUAUAAUAAGCUUGGAUAAACAGUUGUUCAAUAGCUCUAUGGACUAAAGCCAUUAAGACCCCAAUGCUUCUGCUAAAGUCAAAAGAACUCAUGAAUUAUAUCAGAAAGGUCACUGGGGCUAUUAACUUGUUCAUCGUGGGCAGUCAUUGCUGUCCCCAGACAAAACCUUGGAGAGCUGCUUCGGCUCAAAAAAUGUAAUGGCAGAAAGGUAUAACCAUGCCAAAGAGUAUGUCUGAAAUCCUUCAUGAGGGUGGUGAGGGCUCCUGAUUUUGUUGCUUUCCUUGGGGCCAGAGAUCAUAGACUCAUUAAGGUUGGGAAAAGCCACUAAGAUCAUCUAGUCCAAUCACCAACCCACCCCCACCAUGCCCACUAACCAAGUCCCUCAGUGCCUCAUCUCCAUGUUUCUUGAGCAUCUCCAGGGAUGGUUGGGCAGCCUGUGCCAAUGCAUUUCCACUCUUUCUGAGAAGAAAUCUUUCCUAAUCUCCACCCUGAACCUCCUCUGAAAUGAUGAUGAAGAGGAGUUGUGCAGAAUUCUGCAGUUGCAUUAGACUGAACUUGCUGAUAUGAGGUCCUGCCACCUCUUCUAACAGCUGCUCACAAAAGAGAGUCAUAUCCAGCCUAUACCUGUUACUGAGCGGCACCUCUAAAAAUGUUGUACCCUUACUGUUCCUCUAGCUGAACCUCUUUUAGUUCCUCUGUGUGAUAAGCCUGUUCCCCCCCACCAGGGCCUCCACCUAUAGGCUUGCACUACAUUGCUUGGAGAAAACAAGUUUGUGGCCAAAUAACGCACAGCGGGAUUGGGGGGGGGAGGAAGCAGUUUCCACCAUUCUGUAAAAAUGCAAGUUUUCAACCAUUCUCCUCAUCUUGUGGUGAUGCUGGUGUGCUCCAGCUGCAGCACUGACCAGCCUUCUGUUAAAGCCAGCCCUCCGCAUCAAGGUGAUGCCCACUGGCUUCGGAGCUCAUUGUGCAGGUGGGAGGUUGGGACCCCGGGCAGCAGAAUCACUCCAGUGCUGUGUCUCACACGCCUUUACCAUCCACCAUUGUGUGCAGCAGAAUACUCUUAGACCCUGGCAAAGUGUUUGUAGCCACCUCUUUGCCAAGAAAAAUCGAACCUGUUUGGUGAUGUUAGUGUAGGCGAGAGCCACAGGCUACGCUUCCAGCCCUCUGAGAUGCUAAAGGGAUACUGCUGCCUGGGCUCCCAGUCUCAGAGCCUGCUGAACUGCUGAAGGGAUAGCACGUUCCCAACCGUGCGUGCCUGAAACUAGCAGACUGAGAGCACACCAGCUUAUGGAGUUACAGCCUCUCUGCUGUGGGACCAAAGCUGCCUUCCCUGCCCACGUCACCUCGCCUGUACUGAGUAGAAGGGGAGCGAGUAAAACCUCUCAGAGCCGCGAUAAUCCGCGUUGGAUGGGGAUGCGCCAGUCCCGAAAGCGGGGGGAUCCCCAUCGCCGGCACAGCGGCAGGCACGCAAACCUGCUCUGCCUCACGUCCGCGCAAAGCCAAACAAUACCCGCGGAGAUAAAAGCGCACACAGCCUCUACAGAUGCUAAUCCCCUCUUUCACCGCGAGCAGUUUGCACCCGUGGCCCCCCAGCCCGCUCGGGUCAGGGCUCUCCCGUCUCUCUUGCUGCUUUAUCCCGAGCCCUUCCGCGCUUUCGAGCUGAGCCUCUUUCAGAAGGGCUGCGAAGCGAUUCCCGCAGCGCGCUCCUUCCCGCAGCCCGGGCCGGCGGGGCCGCUCGCUGCC